rnacentral:tRNA from 1 species
GCCGCUAUAGUACAGUGGCAGUACAUGACACUUGUAAUGUCAAGACGGUGGUCCGAUUCCGCCUAGUGGCU